rnacentral:rRNA from 1 species
CGUAGGGUGCAGGCGUUAAUCGGAAUUACUGGGCGUAAAGCGUGCGCAGGCGGUCUCGUAAGACAGGUGUGGAAAUCCCCGGGCUUAACCUGGGAACUGCGCUUGUAACUGAGAGGCUAGAGUGUGGCAGAGGGGGGUGGAAUUCCACGUGUAGCAGUGAAAUGCGUAGAGAUGUGGAGGAACACCGAUGGCGAAGGCAGCCCCCUGGGCUAACACUGACGCUCAUGCACGAAAGCGUGGGGAGCAAACAGGAUUAGAUACCCUGGUAGUCCACGCCCUAAACUAUGUCAACUGGUUGUCGGGGAAGCAAUUCCUUGGUAACGAAGCUAACGCGUGAAGUUGACCGCCUGGGGAGUACGGCCGCAAGGUUA